AGCAGCCGCGGUAAUUCCAGCUCCAAUAGCGUAUAUUAAAGUUGUUGCAGUUAAAAAGCUCGUAGUUGAAUUUCGGGGUCAGUAGGUUGGUCGUGCCACCGGUACGUACUGGUCUCACUGAUUCCUCCUUCCUGAAGAACCGUAAUGCCAUUAAUUUGGUGUUGCGGGGAAACAGGACUGUUACUUUGAAAAAAUUAGAGUGUUUAAAGCAGGCUAACGCUUGAAUACAUUAGCAUGGAAUAAUGAAAUAGGACGAUCGAUCCUAUUUUGUUGGUUUCUAGGAUUGACGUAAUGAUUAAUAGGGAUAGUUGGGGGCAUUAGUAUUCAAUUGUCAGAGGUGAAAUUCUUGGAUUUAUUGAAGACUAACUACUGCGAAAGCAUUUGCCAAGGAUGUUUUCAUUAAUCAAGAACGAAAGUUAGGGGAUCGAAGACGAUCAGAUACCGUCGUAGUCUUAACCACAAACUAUGCCGACUAGGGAUCGGAUGAUGUUAAUUUUAUAAUGACUCA
rnacentral:rRNA from 1 species